rnacentral:rRNA from 1 species
UUACUGAUUUGCUUAAUUGCACCACAUGUGUUUUUCUUUGAAACAAACUUGCUUUGGCGGUGGGCCCAGCCUGCCGCCAGAGGUCUAAACUUACAACCAAUUUUUUAUCAACUUGUCACACCAGAUUAUUACUAAUAGUCAAAACUUUCAACAACGGAUCUCUUGGUUCUCGCAUCGAUGAAGAACGCAGCGAAAUGCGAUACGUAAUAUGAAUUGCAGAUAUUCGUGAAUCAUCGAAUCUUUGAACGCACAUUGCGCCCUCUGGUAUUCCGGAGGGCAUGCCUGUUUGAGCGUCGUUUCUCCCUCAAACCGCUGGGUUUGGUGUUGAGCAAUACGACUUGGGUUUGCUUGAAAGACGGUAGUGGUAAGGCGGGAUCGCUUUGACAAUGGCUUAGGUCUAACCAAAAACAUUGCUUGCGGCGGUAACGUCCACCACGUAUAUCUUCAAACUUUGACCUCAAAUCA